UACGGGGGGGGCAAGCGUUGUUCGGAAUUACUGGGCGUAAAGGGCUCGUAGGCGGCCAACUAAGUCGGAUGUGAAAUCCCCAGGCUCAACCUGGGAACUGCAUCCGAUACUGGAUGGCUUGAAUCCGGGAGAGGGAUGCAGAAUUCCAGGUGUAGCGGUGAAAUGCGUAGAUAUCUGGAGGAAUACCGGUGGCGAAGGCGGAUCCUGGACCGGCAUUGACGCUGAGGAGCGAAAGCCAGGGGAGCAAACGGG
rnacentral:rRNA from 1 species